rnacentral:rRNA from 1 species
UACGGAGGGUGCAAACGUUGCUCGGAAUCAUUGGGCGUAAAGCGCACGUAGGCGGUCCGUUAUGUCGGGUGUGAAAGCCCUCGGCUUAACCGAGGAAGUGCAUUCGAAACUGGCGGACUUGAGUACCGGAGAGGGUCGCGGAAUUCCCGGUGUAGAGGUGAAAUUCGUAGAUAUCGGGAGGAACACCAGUGGCGAAGGCGGCGACCUGGACGGAUACUGACGUUGAGGCACGAAAGCGUGGGGAGCAAACAGG